rnacentral:lncRNA from 1 species
UUUCAGUGAAUGGAUGAACUGGGAGAUGUCUGACUCGACUUAGAAUUUCUGAAGCAUGCACACUAUGGCUAAGUUUCAGACUGAAAAGCCAGAAAAAACAGGUAGAAGUUACAAGAAAGAAAAAGUCUUUUUAGAAACACCACAAAGAAAAUGAUCAACAAUCAAGAACAGACAAAAGCAGAAUGGAUUGGCUGUGUGGAAGGUUUUUGUUUUAUGAGUGUGUGUAUAUGCAUGACUGUAUGUAUGGUACACGUGUGUGCAGUUGCCCUAGGAGGCCAGGAGAGGGCACUGCAUCUUCAGGAACUGGAAUUACUGGUGGUUGCAAGCUGCCUAAUGUAGGAUAUGGGAGCCAGACUCACAUCUUGAGAACCAAACUUGUGUCCGUAGGAAGAACA